rnacentral:rRNA from 1 species
UACAGAGGGUGCAAGCGUUAAUCGGAAUUACUGGGCGUAAAGCGUGCGUAGAUGGUUAAGUAAGUCGGAUGUGAAAGCCCCGGGCUCAACCUGGGAAUUGCAUUCGAGACUGCAUAGCUAGGAUGCGGAAGAGGGAAGCGGAAUUUCCGGUGUAGCGGUGAAAUGCGUAGAUAUCGGAAGGAACACCAGUGGCGAAAGCGGCUUCCUGGUCCAGCAUCGACGUUCAGGCACGAAAGCGUGGGGAGCAAACAGG